CAGUAGCCACGGUAAUACGAAGGGGGCUAGCGUUGCUCGGAAUCACUGGGCGUAAAGGGUGCGUAGGCGGGUCUUUAAGUCAGGGGUGAAAUCCUGGAGCUCAACUCCAGAACUGCCUUUGAUACUGAAGAUCUUGAGUUCGGGAGAGGUGAGUGGAACUGCGAGUGUAGAGGUGAAAUUCGUAGAUAUUCGCAAGAACACCAGUGGCGAAGGCGGCUCACUGGCCCGAUACUGACGCUGAGGCACGAAAGCGUGGGGAGCAAACAGGAUUAGAUACCCCGGUAGUCCCUGUCUCUUAUAA
rnacentral:rRNA from 1 species